UGGUCUCAGUCCAACUCAAAGGAAGAGCUGGUGGGUGUGUGGAUAACUUAAAGAGUGUUAUGUAUAAGUUGUUACAUUUGCCCAGAGGACUGCAGUAGGAAAUAACACUGUAGGCAAGGUACUGCUCUCUAAAUAAAACCUUAUUGUUCUAUAAACUUAACUCCUCGAUUUUUUGAGAGCAACACAUGGUACCAGGAGGAGAGUGUGAAGAAAGAAAAAAAAAUGGAGCAUCUCAGAAUUCCAGAGGAGUUAAAGCUGUCCAACAGUACAGCAGAAAACUGGAAGAAAUUUAAGCAGAACUUCAUCAUAUACUUGAUGACCAGUGGAGCUACAGAGAAGGAAGAUUCACUCAAGGUGGCUAUUUUUUUAAAUAUAGCAGGCCCAGAAGCUCUGUUUUUUUAUAAUAGCCUACAACUGUCAGAAGCAGAACAGAAAAGCUAUGGUACAGUAAUAAAACAAGUUUAUAUUGUUCAAACAAAAUGUAACCUUUGAAUGGAACUUCCACAUGAGACAGCAGAAAGAAUGCAAAACAAUAGAGGUGUUUGUCAAGGACCUUGGACUGCUGAGCCAAACAUACAACUUUGGACCUAAAAGAGUCCAUAAUCAGAGACCAAGUAGUAUUGGGUAUAAGGGAUACAAGUCUUUUCUUUUCUCAGGAAAAGACUGUUAGACAAUCCUGAUCUUAAUUUGGAAAAGGCAGCUGAGGUAACAAAUGCUAGGCUGAAGAAGCUGGAGGAAAAAGCAGAACAAGCUGAACUAGAUGAGAUUAAAAGACUGCAAAAACCUAACGCAACACACAAACAAUGCAGAAAGGAGAAUUUCACUAUGAAGCAGAAAGGAGCAGGAUGCAACACACAAGAAACAGCAGAUGCAUGUUCUAUGCAAUGAGGAAAAGGAAGAAUUGAUCACUGCCACAAUGCAAAAAGAAGUUAAUUCUUCUGAGGACUGGACAAUCAUCCUGGACACCAAUGGACUAACGGUUAUCUGCAUCCCUCUUGAAUUGCGGCGCCCAGAAUUGCACACAGUACUCCAACUGCGGUCUGACCAGCGCCCGAUAGAGGGGAAGUAUCACCUCCUUGGACCUAUUCGUCAUGCAUCUGCUGAUGCACGAUAAAGUGCCAUUGGCUUUUUUGAUGGCUAACUUAGUUUGCAAGAUCACAGGAUGAUAAGCAAGUGCUAGGUUUGCUGUAUGUAAGGAGGCCCCCAAAGGGAAAAUGGAGAAGGCUGAGACAGACUUUUGUUUGAGGCCUUGUUCCUUAACCUAGUGUUUCUCAACCAGUGGGACGUGUCCCACUUGUGGGACUCAAAGGUUGUGUAGGUGGGAUUUCAACUCAUUGCCCGGUUGAAAAAAAUCAGUUGUUUGCACUUCAAAUAGAUAAAUCAACAGGAAUCUCAAACAGUGCAAUUUUGUGGUUUGUUUGGUUUUUUUUAAUCAUGGUGGGAGCAGGGUUUUUUGACAAAAUGGUUGGCAGGACAUAAGGUGCAAAGCGUUGAGAACCACUGCCUUAACCCACCACUAGCAUAUAGUCACUGCAGCAUGUACAGUAAUUCACUGUUCAGAUAGCCAUGUACUUAGAUGUGAUGGCAGAGGAAAAGAAGUAGUUAAAAGGAGUUAAAUCUUUUCUCUGGGUAUAUACAUAUGUUCACUGCACCUGGUCUAGGUUAAAGAUUCUGACUUUAAGCUUGCUGCUGCCAGGAGAAGCGUGGGCAGCCUGAGGUAAGAAGAUUGGGCAUGCCAUGUUUUGGACAAUUUAAUCCUCAGGAAUGCCUGCAAAAGUGGACAUUUAGAUCGACCUAACCCUGAUUAGGGUAAUCUAAAUGUAACACUGACAUGUAUACUCACUGACUGUUCCAUCUCCUCUUUCUUUAAUCCAGAACCUGAGCACAGAUAUUUUGUGCUGAAGCACAUACCCCUCUGCACAAACCACGGCAGACAUUUUUGUGUCUCUAGGGAGAGCAGGAUUUGCUCUAUAAUGUACAGAAGAUUUUGUGAAUGUUCAGCUUCAUCAACAGACACAAAGGGCAGUUCCUGGGUACAAACAGAAGAGCAGCUCCCCAUUGCAAUUCACAGUGCUUUGCAGGAAGCACUAUGAAUUGCAAUGAUCCUCUGGACCCAACAGAAGUUCACUGCUGGGUCCAGGAUUUGGGGAUUCCGGCUGCUUGCUGCAAGCCUGAAGCCUGGUCUCCAUAGCAACACCAUCCCCCCCUCCCAGCCCCUAUGCUGUUUUCAGAAUGGGAGGGGGGAAAGGCAGCAGAGGAAGCUCAUUCUUGGGGUUCCCCAGCCAGUGUUGGAGGAUGGGGUGUGUGGACCAGUGCCCCCCACCUUGGGAGACAGGGGGACUCCAAUCAACCUGUCCUACCCUCCAGCAAGAGCUGAGAACACCCCAAACCAAAUUCCCUCCGCUCCCUUUCCCUCCUCCUAUUCUGAAAACAGUGACAGGUUGGGAACUCUGCAGAUACAAGUUACAGAACGUGCUCUGUUUUGGAGUGUGUUUAUCUGAACCCUCAUGCAACAAGGGUUCAGAUUUUCAUGGGGCUGAGCCCUUUAAAGCAGUCAGAUUUUCAUGGGGCUGAGCCCUUUAAAGCGGUCUGCAACCACACUCCUGUGUGGUCAUCACUGUAGACUGCUUUCUGGAGCCAAAUCAGGCAAAAAUGGUAACUUCCCCCUAGCUCCCUGUGAAACAGUCUCAAACUUUGCUAAAGAGAAAUGCUAACAGAAUCUUUAUAAAUCUUUGAAAGUGAGCCAUGUGAUCAUGAUUAAUAGUACAAAGUCGUAUUCCUUCUUUCUGAAUAAACUGAAAAA